rnacentral:rRNA from 1 species
UAGGGAAUCUUCCACAAUGGACGAAAGUCUGAUGGAGCAACGCCGCGUGAGUGAUGAAGGGUUUCGGCUCGUAAAACUCUGUUGUUGGAGAAGAACAGGUGUCAGAGUAACUGUUGACAUCUUGACGGUAUCCAACCAGAAAGCCACGGCUAACUACGUGCCAGCAGCCGCGGUAAUACGUAGGUGGCAAGCGUUGUCCGGAUUUAUUGGGCGUAAAGCGAGCGCAGGCGGUUUCUUAGGUCUGAUGUGAAAGCCUUCGGCUUAACCGGAGAAGUGCAUCGGAAACCAGGAGACUUGAGUGCAGAAGAGGACAGUGGAACUCCAUGUGUAGCGGUGAAAUGCGUAGAUAUAUGGAAGAACACCAGUGGCGAAGGCGGCUGUCUGGUCUGUAACUGACGCUGAGGCUCGAAAGCAUGGGUAGCGAACAGGAUUAGAUACCCUGGUAGUCCAUGCCGUAAACGAUGAGUGCUAAGUGUUGGAGGGUUUCCGCCCUUCAGUGCUGCAGCUAACGCAUUAAGCACUCCG